AGCAAGCGCGGUGUAGGGGAUAGAGGGAGACAAACGAUUAUUUUGCUCCAAGCAUUCUACUUUUGUUCCUUUGGGAGGUAGUCAUUGAAAAAUAGCGCACACACCUGUAACUUUUUAGACGUCAUGGGUUAAUUGAAUGAUACAUCAAUCCAUAACUGAAGAUGAAGGAACACAGCACAAAACGUAGACGAGUAAAGUCCGUCGCACAAAAAAUCGCACCUCACUUCAGUACAUCCUUCCACAGGGAAAGUUUUGGACAGACUGAGGAUGCCUACCACGGAUGAGCGCGACAGCAGAAAAAUUGUGGUAUAUCGAGAGAGAUGGGUAGACUCGGUCCAGCGAAAUCCCCUGAUAACUGCAUGUGUGUGUGACGAACGAAAGACUUCUAACUCCGCUUCCCCAAUAUUUCAUCCAUAAUUUUCGUCACACGCACACACCUCUACACGGGCGGCGGUCUGCCGUCCAAAAUCUAGCGAGAGAGAAGACAGAGCCUCUCGCUUUGGCACAUAGCACAAUCUCUCAACAACUUCGGCUUUGCUACUUGGGGAGAAGGGGGGAUUGCGGUAUGUGAGUGUGUGCGUGUAAUUUUUCUUUACCGUUUCGCACUAUCCCGCGGGAGUACUAUCUUGCACUAUCGCACUAUCUUGAGUGCGUGUUUUUUUUUAUUUUUCAAAGAGAAAAAACCCUUCGACAAAUACCAAGGGGGGAGGAGAGGGUGUGUUUGUGUGUAUAUAAGAGAAUGUGCUUAGGAAAUUAAACGUGAAAAAUAAAAGAAAAUAUGUUAAACGUA